CAUUCUUUGUAGGAGGAGAGAACAUCUUACGUGUUCUCAUAGGAUGAUGACUUUGAGAGUCUCUGACCAGAGCAGGGAUAAACAGUAAAAAAUAUUCUACUAGUUCAUCAAUCGAGUCAUUAUCAUCAGAUCGAGAUACAUAUGGAUAGAUAUUUAGGUUUAACAUAUUUUCAUACCCAUGGUCUUUUCGAGAUAUUGUAUGAUCGAAGGAUUGAAUUGCACGGUAACUCACCA
rnacentral:lncRNA from 1 species